GUAAGUUGUACAAUUAACUUUCAUAUAUUCAUGGAAGGGUGUGUGUGCAUGUGUGCAUAUAGGACCUUAUGUUUGUUUUUCAUGCACAACAGAGAAGCUUCAGAAUCUUAUGGAGCACCAGCCAUCUUUGUGAUAAUGUAACACAAUCCUAUAAAAUGUAAUUUCCUCUGUAAUCUUGCGGUGGGUAUAUUUGCAGGUUGCCUCUAACCAAGGGACGGUGCUUGCUGCACAAGUGAAAAGAAAGCCAAAUCCUCAGAUGCGUUUCCGGCAGACCAGCCCUGUGAAAAAAAUCGCAGCUGCCCCAGAAAAGAGGGCACCUCUCCAGAAGACAAAUGCAAGCCAGGUGAAAACUAUGGGAGGUAAUGGCCCCAAAAAACAAGCCUCUUCCAAGCCUUGUGGUGGUUCUGGUCAGACUCAAGCAAGACACACUGUCACACCUGCACUGGCAAGCCAACUCCCAAUGCCAAAGCAAACCAAUCAUACUGCUGCUGUUUCAGGCAGAUACACGGUUCCUGGGAAAUCCAGCCUGUUUAAACCAGUGAGUUCAGAAACAUCUGGUGGGCAGAGGUCCACUAAACCAAUUGCUGGGAUUGGGAAGAAAGCUGCAUGUCAGAAGCCAGUCCCGCUGGGCACUUUUCAGAACAGCAGGCUGAGACUGCCAAAGACAGAUUCAAAAUGAGGGGAUGGAUCGCUGGGUUUUGAAGCCAU
rnacentral:lncRNA from 1 species